CCCUUGAUCCCUUGUUAUGUACCAGCUAGAUAAAUCAGUUGCCUGUUGGAGCCAGCUAUGGUUUUUCACGACUAGCAAAGGUAUGGAAACACACUGUUAGCUUCCUGUGCAAGCUAUUAGUAUUAUAUCAUAUACACAUAACAUAUGCCUUUGUUACAUGCCAGCUAGAGAAAUCUGUUGGAGCCUUAGUGUGCAACAUUCAUGGAAGAAGAAAAGAAAAUAGUUGUUGCCAAAUAGCAGCUAACGCGAUAGUGAUUACUAUAUGAUUAUCACUAAUAAUGCUGUCUGAUUCAGCAUGUGCUGCAGGUAGAUUAGCAUCUCUUGGCACCAAGGGUAACUGAGUAAAGACUAUCGUGACAAAAUGUUCUUCAGCAAUCAGCAUAAUCCUCAGGAGAACUCUCAAUUCAGGCAUGUAGCGGUACUGCAAGAAAAUGAGACAUCCAAAAGAGAAUGAAUCUUGAGAGGCUCUAUGAGUGACAUUGUCCGUGCUAUGGCGUAACUCGUAAGCCAGAAGGAAGAUCAGUAUAGCAGUCCUGGCGCACAAGGAGUCCAGAAGGUACAUAAUUAGUAAUUAUUUACAACCCAAUAAUCAUAGUGUAUAUAUGGCUUCAAUGGUUAGCAUGAGUAUUUAGAAUGUAUUAGUCAAUGCAAUAUCCCGUUUAUAUUUUCCUCCCAUAUUCAGUGAAGCCAAGAGAUAAUAUUGCUAAAAACCAAUUCAGAUACAACUAGGGUGGAGUACAAUAUUAGAAUGAAAACACUAAAUGGACUAUAUUUUUCCAGUUUAAUUAGAGCCAGUUCUCACUGUUGUCUGAGUCCAGCCUAAUCCGUGGUCGGUUUGAUUUAUCCCCCCAACGUCAUCCUGAUGUCAUGAACGCCUUUAAUCUGAAAUAGGUGUGGUUUAAAAGAUAGUAUAUUGGACGAUCCACUGCCAAAGACAGAUAGGCGAGCAUGCCACUGCAGUACUAAAAGCAAUUGUCCGUUCUCCCAGGUUCUCCAAACUGCAUCCAGUGCUUCCUCUACAAUUUUUCAACUACAGAUCACCAAAAGAAAAGUACUACAUACUAGUGCAAAACCUGACAAAAUGCUGACAGUGCAGGGUCUAUCUGUCAUUUUCAAGGUUUGAGAAAGCAUAGGAAUGUAAAUGUUUGUGUGAAGAGCACGAAUGCAUGACUAAAUGCAUGAACAAUAGAAUGUUCCCUAUAGUAG
rnacentral:lncRNA from 1 species